UACAGAGGGUGCGAGCGUUGUUCGGAAUUACUGGGCGUAAAGCGCGCGCAGGCGGCCUUUUAAGUCUGGCGGUGAAAUGCCGGGGCUCAACCCCGUUGCAUGCCGCGGAUACUGGGAGGCUGGAGACGAGUAGAGGCAAGCGGAAUUCCUGGUGUAGCGGUGAAAUGCGCAGAUAUCAGGAGGAACACCGGUGGCGAAGGCGGGUCUCUGGGAAGUAACUGACGCUGAGAAGCGAAAGCGUGGGGAGCAAACAGG
rnacentral:rRNA from 1 species